CCUACGGGAUGCAGCAGUGGGGGAUAUUGGACAAUGGGGGAAACCCUGCUCCAGCGACGCCGCGUGAGUGAAGAAGUAUUUCGGUAUGUAACGCUCUGUCAGCAGGGAAGAAAGAAAUGACGGUACCUGAACAAGAAGCCCCGACUAACUACGUGCCAGCAGCCGCGGUAAUACGUAGGGGGCAAGCGUUAUCCGGAAUUACUGGGGGUAAAGGGAGCGUAGACGGUGGUGCAAGUCUGGAGGUAAAGGCGGGGGCCCAACCCCCGGACUGCUCUGGAAACUGUGUAACUUGAGUGCAGGAGAGGUAAGCGGAAUGCCUGGGGUAGCGGUGAACAGCGUAGAUAUUAGGAGGAACGCCAGUGGAGAAGGCGGCCUACUGGACGGUGACUGACGCUGAGGCUCGAAAGCGUGGGGAGCAAACAGGAUUAGAUACCCGAGUAGUC
rnacentral:rRNA from 1 species